rnacentral:misc_RNA from 1 species
AAUGGGGUGUGAGGAAUGUGAAGUAUUUGGGAUUUCCAUUCCAAAGAAUAGUCCAAUAAAAAAGGAUAAUUGGAGGAAAGGAAAACCAAAAUUUAAGUAGAAAAGCAACCUAAACAAGAAAUCCUUAAUCUAGCUUACACAAGACAAAGCAUUACAUUUAAGUUAAGGGCACAAGUGAUCGCCAACAAUAUCUAGUAUAAACCUCAUGCAGACUAAUCAAAAGCCACAACAUGCAGAGUUGAUGAAUAUCCCAACUCCCAUAAAGCUAGACAUGAGCAGUGCCCUCGGUGAAUUUGGGAUCUUCGCAUCUGUACCGCCCAUCAGGUCCAAUUCCAAAGCCUUUUGGAUCUGCAAAAACAUUCUCUCGCAGCCACCUACUAGAGGGGCUCUCAUUUGCAAACUCAACAGCAUCCUCAACCACUUCAUCUAUCUUUUCCUCAAUGACCUUCAACUCUGCUUCACUGGCUAGGCUUUUCUCAAUUAUAUAUUUCUUCAACGAUAUUAUGGGAUCUCUAGCAGCAUAGUGAGACUUUUCAGCAGGGUCACGAAGCUCAUCCGGAUCAGCUAAUGAGUGUCCUCUAAACCU